CCAGGCCAUUAUGAACCUACGGAAGCAUUAAAAGAAGUCAAAAAGCCAUACGGACUCCUUCCAGGCAGAAGCUGACACCUCACUCAAGGGGUAUGACCAAAAAGAAAUGCCACAGACCUUUCUCCAUCUCCUUACUCCUUUACUAUCUAACCCCAGUUCCAGUCAUCCAGCAGUUCCCCUUCACUGAGGGCUUGUCUCUACCCACCUAGCCCCAGCACACCAGAAUAAAGCUGCCCAUGGAUGGAGCAGGACAAUAUUACUUGCACCUUGGCUUCUUUGGAGUUCUUUGAGUCACUCCACGGACUUACACCUCUGAGCCAAGGAAUCCAUCGGCACUACACAGGCAAGGGGCUCAGAGGCCGGGAAUGGAAUUCUUGUCACAGCCUGAGCUCGCCAGUUAGGAGGGCUCGGCGACAAAGCGCUCGGCACCAAGGCAAUGCCACAAGCUAACUUGCAGAGUGCCUUGAAGGCAGGAACGUCUGAAGUGCUGCUGCCUGAUGCCUUACGCACCACGACGGGGAUAAAGCAGCAAACAUUUAAACCAGCACACGAGUGUCAAACCCGGACCUCAGCCAGUGUUAAGGAAGACUCAGCAGAGUACCCCGUGAAAACUCUCUAAACCAGGAAGCCGGGCAGUGCACCAACAGCAGCCGAUCCUCGGUGGGCUGCAGCAAAUGCUUUCUUUCCCCCAGCCUCCCCAGGAAAAUCCCUUCUGAACAUCCCCCCCCCCCCCACACACACACACAUAACUAGGCUCAGUAGCUCAUCAAAAAGGAAGGCCAUGACCAGCUUACAGAGGCUGAGCUGUGCAGCUCUUCCUGAAGAGCUUCCAGGCGAGCAGUCUGUUCCUGGGCUCUGCCUUCCAGGCUGGCCUUUGCCUGUUCAAGCCUUGACAAGAAACACAGGUCUCGUUAACGGGAGCCCACAAGAGCACAAACACUGACACAACAGCGUGAAAUAACGUAAGCUAAAGCAAAAGCCUCUCUCAAAAUCACAUACUGACUGGCUGCCAUGCAGCAAGGUGAUCCUGCUGUUUUUGCACCAUCCCAGAAAGCUUCACUGCGACAGCUCCUUACCGUGCCACUCGCUCUUCCACAUCCUUCCGGCUAAUGGCUCCCGAGGAGCCCGAGGAGGCUUCCGGAAGGUCUUGCAGUUGCCGGCAAGAAGCCAUCGCUUCCCUUUGCUCGUCUUCCAGGGCCCUCUUCAAAUCCUGAGCACAACGCUCGGACUGAACGCGCUGUUCUUCCAACUCCUGCAGCUGUAAAACCCCAACCAGGACCCACGGUAGGCAGCUUGUUCUCAUACAGACAAGUCGACUCCUUCGACUCCCGAGUCGACGCUCCAAAACCCUGGUGCUUCAUCCUCUUGCAUACUGGCCUCUCCCAUCCCCAGCUCAACUUCCUACAAGCGGCCCUAAACACUGCUGCAGCACCAGCCCUACUCUUUCAAUGACCCGUGACGCUCCUGGCCUCCAGCCGGUCGCCCCUCCCAGGGGAAGCAUUACUCGCAACGUUCACCCUUCUCCUGCAGCGACUUCCCAGCUCCAUAAUAACGGCCGUGAGCACAGCAGUCUGAACAGCAAAAUGCACAACACACUCCGGGCAUCUCUAGCUCACCCACUGUCACCUUCAAGUCAGCCUCAAAGCUCAGGCGGCUUGUGACAGGCAACCAACAGCUUUCUUCAGACCUACCCACCAGAGAGCUGCUCCCCACACACUGCUUCGCCCCUCACGCUUGAAACAGGCUCCUUCAAGAGCCCGUUGUGUUUGCCACCGCCUUCAUGCCUUACCACAGCCUAGAAUGACUGACUUCCUCAGACCCCCCAGGCGCUUGGUCACAGAAUACUGCUGGGCCCCUUUUCAUCGGUUACAGGGAAAAACAACAUUCUCCUCACAGCCAUUAAUGUAGUUACAGCCUUUGCCUACCUUGCCUUUAACCCUGACCAGCUCCUUCUGCAGCCGCAGUUUGUCUUCUUCCAGGUCCCUGAGAUAACGCGUGGCAACCGCCAGCAAAGCUUCUGACGUCGACCGCUUUUCAAGAGCGUCGGUAACCUCCUGCUGCACCUGUCCGGCCAUACCCUGAUGAAACGGUUACACGCGCAUGAAGAAAAGGACACCUGCGUGAGCGAGAACACAAACGAGCAGAGAGUGGGGCAAGGUAUCUCCAGGAACCUUCCGCAUCAACCUCCAUUUUAACUGGUGGCAUACCCAGCCAGCACUUGCAUCGUCGCUUAAGCAUUACCUGCAGUUUCACGGCUGCUUCUGCACUCAGGCAGGAUGUCAAGGAAUGCAGGCUCUGCAAGCACAACAGCCCUUUCAGAACCCAAAACACUGCUCGGAGCCUACCCCGACUGACUUUUUUUUGUCCUGGUGAUUACUUGGCUGCACGGUGCCAAAAACACUCCUUUCUUUGCAUACCGGGGCAAAGAAGCGGCAACCCUUCCAGCCACUUGCAGAACCAGAAUCUUCACUCUUUCAACCUUACACUAGAAAUCACACUCAAAGGCCAGUUGCCGUCACCCCUGCGACAUUAGCGCACCCGAGCUAGUCACAGGGCUCACUGAACAGCUUGCACAGAGCAGAAGCUGCUCAAGUUCACAGGAACAAACGGAUGGCGGAAGCAGCCCAAGAGGGAAGUGAGCCUCAUCACUGCUCGGGCCCACGUCCAAAGCGAGAUCCCGAGUGAUUCCCCCCACUGGGACACCACUGCGCCCCUCACUGAAAGCACCUCCGAAUCCCAGGGAGAGUCGCUCUCUUCCUCCUGCUCCACUCCUGCUGCCGAUGUAACACCUACAAAGGAAGCAAGAAAAGACGCACCGUGAGUCCUCCUUUCAUUCUGCUGCUCUCCUGCUUCAACCAAGCCUUGCACCAGAAUGCUUGAACUGGCAAUAGUUCAGCUACAGAGGCAAAACAUACAACUGUCAUGCAAGGGCAUCUUCACUCCCAGCUGCACCACCCUGUUCGCACCACUCCCUCUGCCCUUCUCUGCAGCAGAGGAUGACAAGCCCAGCAUGACCCCUCUCACGGCUACAAUGAACAGCCCCCAACAGGUGGCCACGGAGCAGCCAAACGAGGCUCUGGCAUGUCAGAGUCCGGCAGCAGCCACCUUGGGGACAGCUCCCCUCCUAAACAGGGCACCACACUCGGGCACUCACUAUCACUUUGCACAUCAGGAGAGGAGGAACCCUCAAAGCAUGAGCCAAAACAUCCUCACACGCACAGGAACGCACCAGGACACAAGACUCCUUGCCUAGCACUACCACAAAACAUCGCCCUCACUUGAUGGUCCCUUCCCCCCUGGCACUUGCUGGCAAGGCAACAGUUGGGUGCUGGCCCAUCUCACAAGCAGGUCACCAUUUCCCUUUGCUGACUCUGCACAAUGAGCAGAGAAACAAGGGCGAUCAAUGUUUAUUAACUCACCUCUCACAUCAGCAGGGGCUGCUGCAGUAUGGGCCACUUCAGGACCACCACUAGCCACUACUCCAUCCCUUUCAGGGGAUGCUUCCUAAAUGAGGCCAGACAAAAGAGUUGGAGAGGACAGAAACAAGCAUCCCCGGCACAGGCAGUCAACACCUGCCAAAAUACUUCUCUUCUCUCCACCCGCACACAGAACUCUUCUGACUUCUCUUCUGUGAGGCAGAACCUUAGUCAGACCUCCUCCUCCUCCUACCUCACUUUCACUCUUCACACCACAAGCACAUCUUACUGUCCUGCAGGACCUCUUCACACGCAGCAUCUGCAACACUCUCGCAAAGGUCACUGAGAAAGACGGAACCAGGUUACAAACCAAACACGCCUCCACCUCCUGCAGUACAGGCUGGGUUCCAGCAUCACUCUCGGAGUCCUCAUCACUGCACAGUCCCAAGGCCACACACCGCAACUGGAAAACAAAAACAAUCAAAAAGAAAAUAAAGAGGCGAAACAGGUAGCACAAGAUCACCUGCAAGCCUGGAAUGCCAUCCUCAUCUCACCUGGCUGGGGGGAAAAGAGACCUGCUUGAGCAAACCCCAGCCCCCUCCCACAAAGCACACCCGCAGAACCUGACCAGGAAGAAGGGAGAGCCAGGGGACAAAGCGUUUCAGCCGAUUUUGAACAAUAAAUGCCCUUUUGCCACAUCAGUCAGGAUUCUAUCACCAAAGCUACCGGAAACAAAGAGCAACGUCUGCAGCACAAAAGAAGACGUAAUCUAGGAGCUGAGCCACUUUGAUGGUCUAGAAAUGUGACUCCCAGGAAGCAAACCAUGUGGUCUUUUAUCUAGUCUCCUACUCUCUUUCGCGCCCAAGCACAAGACUGCUGCAUGCUCUGCCGUACCUACAAGUCUUUGAGGACACAGCGCAGAGCAGCAGAGAGGGUGGCACACAGGAGUAAAAUGUCUUUUCUCCCCCCGCUAAAUCCGGCAACCCAACAAUAAACUUAAUUUAAAAAGCUUAACAAAA